ACUUACAUAGACCUGAUCUGUCAAGACUCAAGAUACAAGAUAUAAACAUGUAACUCUUAUUUUAUACAUAGAUCCCAACAUUCAUGUUAUAUCUUAAAUCCAAUAGUCAUGGUAUUAAAUAAAUUGAGGAUUCAUCACCAGUGUAGCAAAUCAACCCUUAAUUCCCAAAGCUGAAACAAAUGUGAAGGGCACUGUAUAAUGAAAGAAAAUGAAUUCUGACCUUCUUACACCGUAAGAAUGUCAAAUGCUGAUGAGAAAUGUAAAUGAUGAUAGUCUGAAUGAUGAAUGUUAAUGGGGUCUAAAGAAUUAUUGCCACACGAACCCACAACAGGUUCAUGGAGCAAACUAUGUUAUCUAGUCUGUCAAUGCCAAAGCUUCAUGCAGAAGCCAGCAGGCACAAGAGAUGAUCUCUUGCUCGAAAUACAUUCUGAAAAAGUAUCCACAAGCUGCUCUGCAAGUGAUGAUGGAUCUGGAAUGAAGGAUGAAUCUUGAAUGAAGGUAUCAACAAAUGCCUUCACAACCCUUAUCUCUUGUGGGGUUGCUCUUAAGCUAUACCAGGUCAAGAAUUUCUGUCUGAAAUUCUUCUCAAUAUGUCCCUCACAUUCUAAACGUCUGAUAACCUUCACGUAAUAUUCAAAAUCCCUGUCUGAAUGACCAUUGGCCGUACAUUCUUCAUCUCGCCUUUCCCCACUUCUCUUCUUUGAUGUGCUGGCAUCUAGGGGAUCCUCUCCAUUCCCAAUCCCAUUUAACGGAUCCUUGUUGCCGGAUUUUGAUCUUGCAUGUCUUCCUUGCACAUUCUUAAUUAUUUCCAACUUGCAGGGAGUGAUAGGCAAACUAGCUUCUGAGUUGCCCACAAAUGGCACGCAUUCCAAACCAGUCUGAACAGGGGUAUCUGACCCAUUAUCUGUGCUUAUCUCAUCAACAAUUUGGUCAUCUGGCAAAUGAUUGUUCUGAAGCUUUUGCACAUCAGAACUUGGCAUCAAGCUAACUACCUGCAUGGCAUGCUCCUGAUCUAACAAGGGAACUGCAUCUGUUGUGGUUCCUCCACUUGCGCCGACACAAGUCAUGAUACCAUUGGGCACAUUGGCAGAAACAAUUUUAUCACUGUCCUUACAAUAACUAAGAUAAUUGUCUGCUCGGUUAACAAUUUGGUCACCACAUGGAGCAUUGUGAUUAGUUUCAUCUUCAACAGAAGAUGGAUUAGAAAGACUGCUACAAUUGGUUGCUGGGCUUUGACUUCUUUCUACAACCAAGCAGUUUGGGACUUCAUCCUGAGUACAGCACUGAACUUCAAACAUGCCCAUUUCUCUUCUUACGUCAUUGAAGGAAACAAUUUUGAAAUGGUACUGUGUAGCUGGAGAUAGACCUGUGACAACAAACCUUGUAUUGGGCACAAACAGUGUGCAUGUUGGUUCUGUAGGAUAAUCAGUAUCCUGAGCCUUGCGAUGCCAUAAGGUAUAACCAACAAUAGCACUCGGUGAAGGAACUUCAGAACUCAAAACCACAAUUAAUGAAGUUGCAUAUACAUCUUCAAAUCUGACCAUUGUCAUAGCUGUUGCAUUUAUAUCUCUCAUCAAUGGAUCAGGGAAUGGAUGAGCAACAGCACUUGAAAGCAUUUUGUCGAGUGACUCCAAAGCAAAAGCACACAAUUUUUGAACCUCCGGUCCUGAAGAAAGUCUAUUGACAAUACCCCUACCCAUCUUUACAGGUAAGCCAGUUAACGGACCCACUUCAGCUUCAAGCUUCUUCACAGCUUCAUCUAUAAUCUCAUAAAGGUUUUGAUACUUUCCAGUCUUGUUAAGAAGUUUUCUACUUAAGGACACACGAUAGCAUAGUAUGUCUACCCGCCUGGUAUCCUUGGCUAUCAAUAAUUGUUUUCUCCAGCAUCCAAGUAAAUCAUUCACUUUCCAACAAGCUACACAACAAAAGCUCCCAUCAUAUUCAUCUUUUCCAAUGGCUGACCUUUCAUGUCUCAAGGCACAGUCAAGAUGACAUGACAUACCACAUGCAACACCCUGAAAUGGAGGCUCUGAGCUGCAAGUUAACCACAGGCUGGGAUCCUUGUUGUCAUCGUACUUAUAACAGAUGCAACAUGAACACCUCUUGCAAAAUUCAUCACCUUGUUUUAAGGUAGCCCUGCAUGCUGAGUUUUUACAAUACACAGUAUUACCUAAAUCAUUGCUUCCAUUGUUAGCUGCAGUGUAGUUAACAGAAACAGUUAACCGUGAUGGGUUAUCAAUUUUCCUCUGCCUUUUGGAAGAUUUAUGGACAGGUGUAGGAGAUGAUUCUGUCUCGACAUCUGCUGUCGCUUCACACUCCCCAGCUUUCUUUUCAGAAACAAUUUUAAGAAGGUGCUCUAUGAUUUUCAACUUUGUCAAGCCUGUGUAUUUCCUUUCUUUUCCCAUCUCCACACACAGGAUCUGCAAAAUUUCCUGACGGCUCCAUGACUGUAGCAUUUCUGAGGCACCUGCAUACUUUGAUAAUUGAUAGACAAGUUCUCUUUUUUUAUCCAUGCUUAGCUUACUACAUUUUGAUGGGUCAAGUGCACUUCCUGGGUACAAGAGAAAGGAAAAUCUCUCAUUUACAGAUUUUAUCUAAGAGACAAGUUAAAGAAGUGAAAGCUUUUUAAUCAUCUCACUGUACCUAGUAAAUACAUAUACAUAUGUAAUGUAAGUAUCUCUAUAUAGAUAACAGAUUUGAAACACUAAGAGCAUAAAGAUGAAUCUUAAAGCAAAUGAAACUAUAUAAAGCUUCCUUUGCAUUAACAUCCAUGAUAACAUACAUGACAUCUCCGCCUAAAAUAUUAAAUCAACUACAUAUACCCAGAAUGAAGUAACUUGUCUCCAUAGCCAACCCUUUAGGAGGCCCAUUGGAGUUGCUUGGACUAAAUUUCUUCUCAUUGCCUAGACUAAAUUUCUUCUCGUUGCCCUGAAUAUUAUUGACUAAUUAAUAAACUAAAACAUAUAAAAGAAAAUGGUUGACUUUGUAUUGAUAAAGACAUUCCAACUACAUCAAUGAUACAACUUUUCCAGAAUGAUCUGACAUAAAGGGUAAAGGGUCAACACUAAUACAUAUUAACCAUAGGAAAAAACAAAAAAUAAAUAAAUAAACACAAUAUCAACUAUGAAAUGCCUCUGCUCCUGUACAUUCAUAGGGUGGUCAUCAGCAAGUGCUAAUUCAAAUUUGCAAGCCAGGAAGAAAAUAGUCUGUCAUAUCAAAUAACCCGGCUUUGUUAAUAAAAACAAAUUGACCAUAAUGCAUGAAUAUAAUAUACAGAGAAAACAAAGUUUACCAACCUCAAAAAUUCAACCACCACAAUAUUUUUCUCUUCUAAACUAUAUUAAAAUGUUGAAUAUUAACAAAGAAAUUGGUUAUCUGAAAUUCAACAACCCAGUGCAAUAAACACCUAACUAGCAGUAAUUUUUAUUUUAUGCCUAUGAAACCCAGAAACUCUAAUCAAUACCCAAAUCAUUAAGAUCAAGAAUAACACUAUUUCUGGUAAACGAGUGACCAUAGAAAUUGGAAAUCCAUCAUAAGAUUUUACCUUCAGACCAUGAAAAAGUAAACCACAGACAACAGAGCCAUUCAAUGGUUGAAAUGACAAAUCACUAAAAAAUCGAAACAACAAAACUUAGAAGCCAGAAAUAAUUGUAUCCAACAAAUUGAUCCAAAAACGAAAAUAAAAGAAGAAACGAAAUCUUACCCUCAAAAGAUAAAUCCAUAUUUAGAAUUCUCGAAUAAUUACAGCCCACUAAGCACACCACAUUACCACCAAAUCCAACCCAAAAAAGGGUGCUUGAAAUUCUACCACAACGAGCGAAUCCAUGAUUUAGGAGAGUUCUCUCACUCUUUCUCUUUCUAUCCCUCUUGCUGUAGAGAUAUAUAUCUAUAUAGAUAAAUAUGUAUCUCUCGCUAUGCACAGUUUGGUUUUAUGUGUGUGUGUGUUUGUAUGGGUCCUCCUUUAGCUUUCAGGACCCGAAGCUGUAGUGAAAAGAGAUUCGAGGAGGCUCGUUAGAGAGAGAGA
rnacentral:misc_RNA from 1 species